rnacentral:rRNA from 1 species
UACGUAGGGGGCUAGCGUUGUCCGGAAUCAUUGGGCGUAAAGCGCGUGUAGGCGGCCCGGUAAGUCCGCUGUGAAAACUCGAGGCUCAACCUCGAGACGCCGGUGGAAACCGUAAAGCUAGAGUCCGGAAGAGGAGAGUGGAAUUCCUGGUGUAGCGGUGAAAUGCGCAGAUAUCAGGAGGAACACCCGUGGCGAAAGCGGCUCUCUGGGACGGUACUGACGCUGAGACGCGAAAGCGUGGGGAGCAAACAGG